rnacentral:rRNA from 1 species
CUAUACAUGCAAGUCGAGCGCGCCCUUCGGGGUGAGCGGCGGACGGGUGAGUAACGCGUGGGAAUAUGCCCUUCUCUAAGGAAUAGCCUCUGGAAACGGAGAGUAAUACCUUAUACGCCCUUUGGGGGAAAGAUUUAUCGGAGAAGGAUUAGCCCGCGUUAGAUUAGGUAGUUGGUGGGGUAAUGGCCUACCAAGCCUACGAUCUAUAGCUGGUUUGAGAGGAUGAUCAGCCACACUGGGACUGAGACACGGCCCAGACUCUUACGGGAGGCAGCAGUAGGGAAUCUUAGACAAUGGGGGCAACCCUGAUCUAGCCAUGCCGCGUGUGUGAUGAAGGCCCUAGGGUCGUAAAGCACUUUCGCCAGAGAUGAUAAUGACAGUAUCUGGUAAAGAAACCCCGGCUAACUCCGUGCCAGCAGCCGCGGUAAUACGGAGGGGGUUAGCGUUGUUCGGAAUUACUGGGCGUAAAGCGCACGUAGGCGGAUUAGUAAGUUAGAGGUGAAAUCCCAGGGCUCAACCCUGGAACUGCCUUUAAUACUGCUAGUCUUGAGUUCGAGAGAGGUAAGUGGAAUUCCGAGUGUAGAGGUGAAAUUCGUAGAUAUUCGGAGGAACACCAGUGGCGAAGGCGGCUUACUGGCUCGAUACUGACGCUGAGGUGCGAAAGUGUGGGGAGCAAACAGGAUUAGAUACCCUGGUAGUCCACACCGUAAACGAUGAAUGCCAGACGUCAGCAAGUAUACUUGUUGGUGUCACACCUAACGGAUUAAGCAUUCCGCCUGGGGAGUACGGUCGCAAGAUUAAAACUCAAAGGAAUUGACGGGGGGCCCGCACAAGCGGUGGAGCAUGUGGUUUAAUUCGAAGCAACGCGCAGAACCUUACCAACCCUUGACAUCCUGUGCUACUACCAGAGAUGGUACGUUCCCUUCGGGGACGCAGUGACAGGUGCUGCAUGGCUGUCGUCAGCUCGUGUCGUGAGAUGUUCGGUUAAGUCCGGCAACGAGCGCAACCCACAUCUUUAGUUGCCAGCAGGUUAAGCUGGGCACUCUAGAGAAACUGCCCGUGAUAAGCGGGAGGAAGGUGUGGAUGACAUCAAGUCCUCAUGGCCCUUACGGGUUGGGCUACACACGUGCUACAAUGGCAGUGACAAUGGGUUAAUCCCCAAAAGCUGUCUCAGUUCGGAUUGGGGUCUGCAACUCGACCCCAUGAAGUCGGAAUCGCUAGUAAUCGCGUAACAGCAUGACGCGGUGAAUACGUUCCCGGGCCUUGUACACACCGCCCGUCACACCAUGGGAGUUGGUUCUACCCGACGACGCUGCGCUAACCCUUCGGGGAGGCAGGCGGCCACGGUAGGAUCAGCGACUGGGGUGAAGUCGUA